GACGAACGCUGGCGGCAUGCCUAAUACAUGCAAGUCGAACGCUGAAGCACUCUGCUUGCAGAGUGCGGAUGAGUGGCGAACGGGUGAGUAACACGUGGGAAAUCUGCCUAGGAGUGGGGGAUAACAUUCGGAAACGGAUGCUAAUACCGCAUAUCUUUUUGAACCGCAUGGUUCUUAAACGAAAGACGGCUUCGGCUGUCGCUCUUAGAUGAUCCCGCGGCGUAUUAGUUAGUUGGUGGGGUAAAGGCCUACCAAGACCAUGAUACGUAGCCGACCUGAGAGGGUGAUCGGCCACACUGGGACUGAGACACGGCCCAGACUCCUACGGGAGGCAGCAGUAGGGAAUCUUCCACAAUGGGUGAAACCUGAUGGAGCAAUGCCGCGUGAAUGAAGAAGGUCUUCGGAUCGUAAAGUUCUGUUAUUAGAGAAGAACAAGUCAAGGAGUAACUGUCUUGACUUUGACGGUACCUAACCAGAAAGUCACGGCUAACUACGUGCCAG
rnacentral:rRNA from 1 species